rnacentral:lncRNA from 1 species
UUUUUUUUUUUUUUCUUUUGCAUUUUCCUCAGCCUCUUGUUACCCCUGACUGGUAUUACUGCCUCAGGGUGCUACAAUGUGAAACAAUGGUCAAUGACUUUCUUUUGACAAAUGGCCCUUGGAAGAGGACUACUUGAACAUAGCUGGCUCUAAAUCAGGUCAAAUAAAGACAAAUCUUGAGAAUGAUGCUUCUCAGGAAACUGCUGUUCAGGUCGAGUAAUAAUUCUCUUGGUUAGGGAUUUUGGGGAGGUUCAAAUCUGUUCUGCCACAUAUAGUGGCUGCUAGACCACUGAUUCUCAAUUACUCUAGUUGUGAGGCCAUUUGCUUUCAGGGUACCACAGAACUGAGGGGAAGGGGAUGGAAAUAGGGGAAAUUAAAAUGCCACAGAAUUUGCUAAUUUUUUAAAAGACUCAGUUAUUUUUCUUAAUUUUUAAAAAAUGUUUGCGAGGAGUUCCCAUCGUGGUGCAGUGGUUAACGAGUCCAACUAGGAACCAUGAGGUUGCGGGUUCGAUCCCUGGCCUUGCUCAGUGGGUUAAGGAUCUGGUGUUGCCAUGAGCUGCGGUAUAGGUCGCAGACGCGGCUCGUAUCCCGCAUUGCUGGGGCUGUGGCAUAGGCCGGUGGCUACAGCUCCAAUUAGACCCCUAGCCUGGGAAACUCCAUAUGCCGUGGGAGCUGCUCAAGAAAAGGCAAAAAGACAAAAAAAAAAAAAAAAAGAAAGAAAAAAAAAUUUGCAACUCUUCGUUUAAUCCCAGAGCUCUGAAAAAGUUGAUUUUGACAAUUUUUGCCAAUGUACUCACAACCUUUAUGGAGGAGCAGAAUUUUGGAUGCACUUACUCUGUAAUUCCAGAAAUACUUCUCCCCUCUUGUUUAUUUUAAUAUGGUACAAAUAUGCUCAUUGGUAUGGUCCACACAAAAUGAUUUAACAUUAAGACAUUUUCAUGGAAUAAAAAUACCAUUUUUACUCAAAAGAGUUAACUUUGAUCACCACAAGGGAGAAGAUUCUGAUUUAUUUUCCUAACUUUAGUGAUAAAAAACACAACAGUCUCAAAACUAAGUAUUGUGGCAAGUUCCCAUUGUGGCUCAGCAGAAACGAAUCUGACUGGUAUCCAUGGGGAUGCAGGUUUGAUCCCUGGCCUUGCUAGUAGGCUGGGGAUCUGGUGUUGCCAUAAGCUAUGGUGUAAGUCGCAGAUGCAGUUUGGUUCCUGUGUUGCUGUGGCUGUGGUAUAGGCUGGCAGCUGAAGCUCCAAUUCAACCCCUAGCCUGGGAACUUUCAUAUAUGGUGGGUGUUGCCCUAAAAAACAAACAAACAAACAAACAAAAAAACUAACUAUUGUGGAAAUAGUAAGGAAAAUCUAGAUAUUGUUACUCUAGGUAAAUUGAAUUUAUAUCAAAAGUGUUUGAGUGUUUUUGGCAGGGUGCUGGUCAUGGUAAAAGUGAGUUGUGAGAGCUUAAUAUUAUCUUCGUAGACAUCCAGGCCCAGUUCCCUACCUCAAGAUCCACCAAUUUCUCUGCAUUCUUAUAUUCUUUAUAACUCCUUUUUUUCAUCAGGGAGUUUAACAACUUUCUGCAGUUCUUGUGAAAAGGAAAAUGCAUUCCUUUGGUCAUGUGUUCUUCCAUUUCUCUUUCUUCUCUGUAGGACUUAGAUUUUCAAAAGGGAAAAGAAAAAGCCAAUCCCAGGGGAAGAAAAAAAAAGAGGAGAAGAAAACACUGAAUUACCUCUUUGUAUAUUUGGGGCUUGAAAAAGAAAUUUAGUCUCAUAAAAAUAAUUUCCUCUUUAUACUCCUCGUUUUUGUAACUAUGAAAUUCAUCCCUGUGCUAUAUACAUACAAUUGCUUAAUUAAUAUUACCAUUUCUUUAUUAGCCUUAAUAACACACUUAGUAUUACAAUUACUUGCAUUGUUACUUUUUGUGGCUCAGAUACACUUAGCCAUAACUCCACUGUAGGUACUUUACACUCUUCUCUUGUGCCUUUGUAGUACAUUUUGGCCCACAUGAAAGAAAAACCAGGGCAGGUCCUGGUAUUUAUGGCCUCAGUUUUAAAGUUUCUAAGCCUUAUUGUUCCAACAUUGCUCUACAAUUCUUCUAUCUUCAUUGCCCUCUGCCACUUGGCUGUUCCUUCUUGCUUUACCCUGGAAACUUUAGUGGCUUUUAACUCCCAAUCUCUGGCUCUAUCCUCUUGGCUGCCCACAAUUUCCUUUCCUGGAGAGGAAUCAACUAGUCAUGGCUAUCUUUCAUAAAGUCUCAUAUCUCCUCUUCCAGUGCAGUCCUCACCCUACAGGACAAAGACUUGGAUGAUUAGAGGUUCAUGGUUGCCUUCAUUCCAGUAAUCUACUUUGGGACCAAAAAUUUUAAAUGGCCAAUAUUGGCAAUAUAUCUCUACUAAUGUUUAAAUACCUAUUUUAUGGUGUCCAGUUGGAGUGUUUACAAUUUCUUUUAGAUAUCAUGAUAAUUGGCUCAUGCUCAUCUCUUCAAAUUUUAAAAGAACCACCAAAGAUUAUUCUUCUAGGCUAUCCAUUCUGUUUUGUGAGAAAUAAAUGUCCUGUCUUCUACCUUCAUUCUGGUAGUGUAUGUAACUGCAUUUAUUAAUAAUAAAUAACAAUUUCCUUAAAGAAGGCAUUGCAUAAAAACUUUUAUCAGAUGAUAAAAGUUUCACAGUGUGCUUCAUGUCCUCUAAUAUAUUUCAAAAUUAAUAUAUAUUAAUAUAUUCCAUCUCCUCUAAUAUAUUUCAGAAUUAGAUCAAAUCAAGCCACUUAAGGAAGCAAAUAAGAGGAGAAAAAAAAAACAGAGUAAAAAAACAUGUUCGAAUAUGUCACUCAGAAUUCUGAAAAUAUUCUAUGCUUAUAAGAAGUCUAAAUUCCUUGGCAUCCUUUCAAGAUUCUUUCAACUCUGACCACAACUUCACUUGCCUUUUCUAACUUCUAUUCAUUCUACUCAUCCAUUUCAUGCUGUCUGUGUCUAGAAUGCCCAUUAUCCUUUUUCUCCAACUGCGGAACCCUCUGCCCACUUCCUACAAGGCUAAAUUCCAGUGCCACCAUCUCUUUGAAACUCGGGGGCUGGGGGCGGGGGGGUGUUGUUCUUGGUUUUGUUUUUUUAUUUGUUUUUGUUUGUUUUGUUUUGUUUUGUUGUCGCUUUAGGACCACACCCGUGGCAUAUGGAAGUUCUCCAGCUAUGGGUUGAAUUGGAGCUGUAGCUGCCAGCCUACUCCACAGCCACAGCAACUCCAGAUCCAAUCCGCAUCUGUGACCUACACCACAGCUUACAGCAACAUCGGAUCCUUAACCCACUGAGCAAGGCCAAGAACAGAACCCACAUACUCAUGGAUACCAGCCAGGUUUGUUACCACUGAGCCACAAUGGGAACUCCCUGUCUUUUUCUUCCCGUUGAUUUUAUCCUCUAUUCUAGGGCUCAUCAGAUGCAAUUAGAAAUAGCAUUCUAUAUAUGUAUUUGGGUAGCUUGUGAAUUUUCUUAAGGAUAGGGCCAAGCACUUCAACAACUCUGACCCUGCAGGAUCCAGAAGACUUCCUACUACAGAGAAGUAUCCACAAAUGUCUGAAUGAAUGAAUUACACAGGGGCAGAUGUUUGCAGGCAAUAAAAAUGACGAAUUGACUGUCUUGAUAUAGGCUAUGGUCUAGUAGAGUGGAUGAAAAAUAGCCACAUAGUUUGUAAAACAAUCUAUUUAAGUGUUUUUAUUUCAGAGCCAAAUCAUAGAUUCUCUUUCUCUUGAUGUAUUUAUUUUUAUUAAUUCCAAGAGCAUUUCCUUGCAUAUAUAUCUACUGACCCUGUUCUUUUAUAAGAAAUACCUAUCUUCUUGGUUUGAUUGCUAACUAAUCAUUUAUUUGCUAACCCUGGGAUUUUAGAGCCCAGCUACUUGAUUUAAAUUUUCAGAAACUGGCUAAAAAAAAAAAAAAAAAAAAAAACUAAAUCAACUUACUCAAAUAAUUCUAGACUUGCCUAACAGCUUAAAAUAUAAUUAACUCACAUUUCAAAUGAAGGGACCCAACUACAAUGUUACUACUCAUGAGCGGUGGUUAUUCUGAGUCAGAGAGUGCCAUAAACUGAAUAUUCUUGCCAGGGCACCACCCCAGUACUCCCUCCCCCACUACAGCCUUACUGUCUCACUCAAGUUGAAGUCUGCCAAGAAGUUUUGGAGAAAUUUCCUAUAGUGUUAAGAACUGCCCCUCACCAGGAUUCCAAAGGCAGACUUUUUUCAUAAGUACCAGUUGCCCAGAUGUCUUUGGACCAGGUUACUGGCACAGAUUUGUUCAGGAAAUAGGGCGGGAGGAACACCUAUUUAAUAUUUUAAGUGAAAAAACAUUCAUGACAUUACACAAUAACAACAAAAAAGGUUGGUUCGUGGUGAAGUUCAAGCCCCACGUCAUUGUCAUCAUAAAUACGACUUUAUUUUGGUCACCGCAAAAAAAAAAUAAUCAUGGGUUCUCAAUUGAAGAAGCAAUUAAUAAGGUUAAUUUCAUGAGACUGCUUAAUUUUAACAGGCUUAAAACAAAACCCAUCAAACAUUAAGAAUUGAGGACAAAACUGCUUAUUUUCUGUUCCUAGUUACAACUGAAAGAAAUUAAUGGACAGCAGAUUUUCAGUAGAAAAACAACCGUCCUACCCAUUUUUGCCUUUGCGGAACAUAGCCCUGGAUUCUAAUACAUAGCAGGAACUCAAAAAUUAUUGAACUCCAUAAAGCUGCUUAUGUAGUUUAGCCUCAUGAGUUAGUAUCACCGUCUUGGAGCGCAUUACCCUCAAUACAUACAUAGUAAUAUUUAAAAAUCUGAAUCAUCAUGAAAUCUUUGUAAAAACAGAAGCAGCUCUAGACAAUAACACCUAUCCUUAAAUCCUCAAAGAGGGAGAAUGAAAGCACACUUUGAGGCUAUCUUAAAAUUUAUUCGAAACCUCAUAUUUAACUUUUAAAAGAACAUCAUUUUAUAUUUUUCUUUUAAACAUACAAUAGUUUAAAAAUCAUUUAUUAUUGAAACGGACACCACCCUCCUACCCAGAUGGGGAUACCUUAUUUAUGCUCUGGUCUUGAGAAUUCAUAAUCUUAUUACCAAAGACCUCCGGCCUACAGGGGAAGCAGAACUCUGUGCCCUCUUUUAUUCCCAAUCUCUUAGCGAAAUUUUUCUUCUCUUGUUAAAAAAAGAAUCCUUUUGACAGCCAGCUAAUUUGAAAAGCAAAAAGCAAAUCCUUGCUAAUGUUAUAGUGGGCUCUGAUAUCUUAAUGUAUUCCCAUUUUAUAGGGAUAUCUACAAGACAAUUUCCUAAUCCAACGUAAAUAUUCUAAAGGGUGAGGAUUCUAGAAACAAUAACAGGAGUUGCUGGAAAUAUUUUUGGCCCAACACCAAAGUUCCCUUCUGAUGCCCAUCAAAUUAUGUCACUUCCUAUAGGGCCCACCACACAUAGGCCCUGCCCUAUGUUCCCAUUGUCUACCUAAUACUAAUUCUCCCACUACCAGGAAGAAUGAUUCAUUUCUAUUCAGCAUUUACUUUAAUCCAGGCAUUAUGCUAAAUGCUUUGUAGGCUUGUCUCAUUUAAUCUUCACAACAAUCUUCAGAGAAAGGCAAUAUUUUCACCCCCAUUUUCUUCUGAGAAAACUGAAGCUUAGAGAAAACAGAUAAUUGUAUCGAAUCAUAUAGCUACUACAUGGUGCUUCCAGGUCUUGAAUCCAUGCGAUGUAACUCUGGAAUCUACAAGAGACUUACUCACUGUAUUUGAUUAUCUCCAAGGAGAAUACUCUGAAGGAAGUACCUAUUUAUCUUUUUGAAAUUAUUGGUCAGUAACCCCAGUUACUUUUGCCUCAUUUCAUAGACUCUACUUCCCAAAUUCUUAAUCAGUUCAGCCUCUAACCUCUUAGUGUACUUUUAAUUUUCAACCAUAUUUCCAAACCCUAAAAGAUAUUUGAUCAGAUUAGGUCUCACUUAUAUAGAAAAGUAUAUAGUAUAAAGUCUAGAGCUUAACAUUUCCAUCAAGUGACCUCAUAUAAUUAACAGUUUGUGACCCUAGUUUUUAUAUUUUCUAAGCCUCAGUUUACUCAAUGGCAUGUCUUUCUGUCAGACAGAAUAAAACUGCUUAAGAAAAUAUCUUUCCUGACAUUGAUUUGUAUUUAGAUGUAUUGAAAUUCAGAAAAUGAACAUUUAUUCUACAUUUAAUUCUGCAGCAACAGCUGCUUUGUCUCUACAUCUGCAUUGAUUUGACAUGAAGAUCAAUAAAUAUUGCCAACAGAUUCAUAGCACAUGUGAAAAUUAACUUCAACCACAGCACUGAUAGUAGUAGUUAUCAUCAUUAGAUUAUAAAUCCUAGAGGAGAUUUUAAAAAUAUUUAAAUUCAAAGUAU